CGGGUCCACCAGCCAGAGUCUGAGCUCACGGAGAGGAGGGCUCACAGCGUAGGGACCCUGAUAUCCAGGUCAGGGGACUGAGGGAAACCCUCCUUCCUCAAACAGCUCCGGUUUUGGAGCUGGAAAAGAGAGGGGACGAUUUAUCUAAUCCCUCUGCUUUCAUCUUUAGUUUGUCCUAAUUUCCUACUCCCGCCCCUCCCGCUGACUCGACCCCGCUGGGACAUUGCCCGGGAGCGGCUCACUGCUGCCUGGCGCUGGCCCUGCGGGCACGGAUGGGCGAAGCGUCGGCAGUGAUGCCCGGGGCUGGGCUGCUGCCCGGGACUGGGCUGUUCGGCGGGCAGCGCUCGGCUCUCUUCCCCUCUCGCACGGUUCAGCCCGACGGGUCGGGUUUUCUUUCACUCAGCGCCAGACUAAACGGGAACCGAACCCCGCAGCCUCCGCGGACCUUGUUCUGGGUUUCGAUCUGGGGGAGAAACACCAGGAAGGGUUUGCAGCCCGGGCCCGGGGGUGCCCGGCUGGACCCCGGCGCUGGGAAGGUGCGCUCGCCCCGCCAGGCCCCCGCCGGUGGCUGGGCCGUUCCGCGGAGCCGAAACGCGUGCGCUGGGCAGCUGCCGGAGCGCCCCGCAUGACAGCGGAAUAACAAACAGCCUGAAUGCAAUGUGCCACUCGGGAAACCUCGGGGCGUGUGUCCGUGCGGCAGGGCCCUUAGCUCUGGCCAUGAAAGCCCCGAUUUCACGCAGGAUCUGCUCCGCGCCCUUCUCCGCCCCCCUGCGCGCCUUCCAGCCGGCUCCGCUCCGGGCCAUGCACCGCCCCCCGGCCCCGACCCCAACCAGCGUGUCCGGGGGGAUUUAAGCUGUUGGAAGUGAACACGAAGAGAUCGGAAGCGUGUGGUGUGUGCUCUGGAAAAACAACUAGUUUCAGAUUAAUGAAGGAGUGACAAUUUCAAGGCUCAAGUUGGCACUGCCCAUGCCAGAGCGUGGGGAGCUCGCCAGGCUUUGCUUUAUAUUGUCUACUUUUCUGAAGAGCAGACAAAGAUGGAUAGAGAGACAUUGAAAAGCAGGAGGCGUAUUUCAAACAGUUCAAUAAAGAGGGUUGUCACUUAAAGACAAGAACCAUAGUGCUUUGAUGACUUUGUAUUAGCCUCACCGUUUCAAAUAAGUGACUCUACUCUCUUUGCGGAAUUUACCGAGUUUUAGUAGAUGACACUUCAGUGAAGCCACUUUAGACAGGAGCAAGAGCUUGUAACGGCGGGGCAAAACUCCUCUUAGGGCGGGUUUUGCAAAGAAGAUUGCCGACCGGGGCCUGUUUUUUCGUCCUCAAAUUGAGUAACGUCGGUGAAAGCAAGGUUUACAAUUUACAUGGAACCACUGUGAAAAAGUGAGAAAACUCUUCGGCUCUGUGUGGAUGUAAAGAAAGCGACGGGGAGAUAUCGAAAUGCCGGGGGGAGACGCUGCUUCCCGGCAGACCCCGACAAUACCGAGAAGGCUUUUUAAAAAACACUUUCUACGUCCUCCGAGAAAACACCAACUCGACACGUUGAAAAUAAAGUUGUAUGUACCCCCCCGAGGCAGCUCACGGGUGUCCUCACCCGCGCAAGGCCAAGCUCUUGUCCCCCCAGGUUCCCGGCCCUCCCCGGUUCCCAGGCGCUUUGCUCUGGGUGAGAGGACACCUCUCCCCUGCCCAGGGGGCAGCCGGACUGCCCCAGCCCCGGUGUGCGUGCGGCGGGGAGGGAAGUAGGGCGCAGCCCCUCCGGCUUAUCAUUUUUGCCAAACCCUAGGAUUUAUUAUUAUUAUUUUAUUUUUAUUUUUUUUUUUAAAAAGAGUGGGACCCCCGACCGCUGCAGCCCCCCAGGCUUUGAAGGCACAGCUAAAGGGCUUCACUGUGGAUUUGAGCGAACCAUUUAGUCACUGUUUCAUUAGGCACUAUUUGAACCUUGCAACAUGUGGUAAUUUCUGGGGCAAGCUGAAAAGGGGGGAUUAUGUAGGAGGGACACAAGGAAAUUAGCUAACGGUUAAUUUAACUCGUUUUCUGGUAGAAUUUUCGAUACAUUCCUAAUUGACUGAGGAGGCAGGUGAAGUCUUCAGUUCCAGGCAGACUCAUUCACCGUGAGAAUAAAUGGCUCUUUUUCAACUCACACUGCUCACAAUAUAUCAUCAGGGAAAAGACAUGCAAUGAAUAUGUUGGGUUUUUUUAUUAUUAUUAAUGGAAUUACACCCUGCUACGCAGGUGUGAGGGUAAAAACCUAUACUGCGAUGAAAUCAGAUUAACAAUGAAACGAGAAUUUUAUUAGCUUUCUAAGUCACAUAGACCUGGAUUUAAACUGUCAAAACAAGAAACAAGAGGUGGAAAAAAGAUACUCCGAAGGCAACAGUGCCAAUCAACGGGCAGAAGUAGUAGCUUGAUAUAUAAAUAAUAAUUAGCUGUAAUUCGCUGUCAGUAUCCACACCCUACAUCUAUACUGUUUAUAUCACAUAGACAAUGUAUGAUUAACCUAUAAUGGCAAAUCUGUUUUGAGUCCGUGGUUUGCCACUUAACCCUAAUCACCCCGAUUUGCUAUAUAAACGCGAACAUUUGUUCAUGAAGUCCGAGUUUCGAUAAAACAUUAGAUAGCGUAGGAAAUAAACCCUGGCUGAGACCCCUGCUGUGCUCGCAAGGGAAAAGGGCUCAGUCGGAUCGGCGUGUCCUGGCGGCAUUCGGGAGCCGCACGGGGAGCAGCGGGACAGGAGCCGUGACCCUGCAGCUCCGCGGAGCGACUGGCUGGAGGUGACCGUGCGGCAGGCAGCUCCAGGAAGAGGCGGACGGGGAUGGCCCGCACCGGGAGCAGCGUGUGGGUGGAGACUGCACCGGGCACCGUGGGAGUGACGGGUUGAAGGUGACCUUGCACCGGACACCGGGAGCGGCGGAUUGGAGGUGACUCUGCACCGGGGAGGGGUCAACUGUAAGCCUGCCAAAGGGCUUUCACAGACUGAGGAGCACCAAACCCUAGGACAGACUGAAGGCCAGCCAAAGAAGAGAAAAUACUGGAGACCUCAGGUUAAGACUGACCCAGACAUAGUGUUUCCUCUUAAUUUUUACCUUUCGAAGCCAAUGGGCCAUAAUAUAUGCAUGGCUAUAAGGAAAAUACCAUUUCAGACUCCAAAAUUCAAGGUGUCUGAGAAAUACCUUACAUGACGUAGUCAUCUUACUUUAAAUAAUUCAACUCUUGUAAUAACAGAUGAGUUUUCGUUCAGAACUAGUGCCACUGCCCACAGAACUGUGUAUCUCAAAAUAGGAUGAAGCUUAGGCCAGAAUGUGGUCAACUAUACAUGCGGAAGAUGCAAAUAGUAAUGAGCCAAGAAGUAUACUUGACAUAUGACAUGUGCAAUGCAUUUGAACAAAAAUUUGGUAUUUUAAUUUUUCCCCAGUGGACUUAGAUUUUAAUUAACCUACCAAUAUUAUCCCAUUCUUCUAUAACAGUUGUCAAAUCAGUUGUGGCUUCAUAUUCUCGAUGUUGCUACAGAAAACCAAGUAGACACCCCCAGUUUAGGUACUAUAAAGGAGGGAUACAUUGCUUUUUGCUUCAAUUCCCCUGAAAGGCUGGUCCUGGCUUUUGAUGCAUGUUCUGGAGAAGACAGACAUGGAUCCUAUGCUGACUUUUACUAAACUAGUAAUAGUAGACACCACAAAGCAAUUUAGACAUGUGAGUGAUUCAGCUGAGUACAGGAGAACUGGGUUGGUGAGUCAAUCUUGCUUGUGUAAAAAAUGCAAUACCUCUGAGGUAGAGCUGGGAUACUGGCAGAAAAAAAUGCUACUUGAUGCCAACAGCAUCAAUUUUCAUGUUGCUAUCAUCAUUUUCACCUGCUCCCACAGUUUUGUUUUGAGAUUGCAUUUUUUUUGCUCAGUUAAAGGAAAGCUGGAUUUUAACAAAUUAAAGAAGAGCCAUCAGGAGGUGGUGUUUUGUUGUUGUUUGUUUGUUUGUUUUGAGGACCUGACAAUUUUUUACAGGCAAAACAUACCAGCUCUGAAGUCAUUGUAUUAAAAUGCUGAUGCCAUUAAAAGUUCACAAAACAGAGGUGGUUGGUUGGUUUGCUUCCUUGCUUUUGUAUUGCCUGUUUCCUCUUCAUAAAACAUAUUUCGGGA